UACGUAGGGGGCAAGCGUUGUCCGGAAUUAUUGGGCGUAAAGAGCGUGUAGGCGGUCCGGUAAGUCCGCUGUGAAAGUCCAGGGCUCAACCCUGGAAUGCCGGUGGAUACUGCCGGGCUAGAGUCCGGAAGAGGCGAGUGGAAUUCCUGGUGUAGCGGUGAAAUGCGCAGAUAUCAGGAGGAACACCAGCGGCGAAGGCGGGUUGCUAGGCUGACACUGACGCUGAAGCGCGAAAGCUAGGGUAGCAAACGGG
rnacentral:rRNA from 1 species